UAAAGUCUUACUUCUUCAGGAGUCUAUAUUGUUAAGUCGGUCACCAUUUUGCUUUUGCUUCCAAUUCCCUCCAUUCAUCCUUUGAUUGUAUUCGACUUGAAGGAUGGCAGUCUAGGCUUCAACAUAUAUAAUCACCUCCUAAAAUUGAGCAUUUUAUUUGAAGAGUCUGCCAUCAUCCUCUUCCAUUUGGUUCCAAUCUUUUAAGCCGAACCCUAAGCUUACACAGCAGGGAGUUCAUUGGUCAGCCCCUACACCUGGCUGCUUCAAGCUAAAUGUAGAUGCUGUUGUUUCUUGAUAUUACUCUAAAAUGGGUUUUGGUGUUGUUAUUCGUGAUCAUGUGGGCAAUAUUGUUGUUGGUCUACUUUUUCCAAAUGGAUGAAGCUUUCUCUUCCACUGUAAUGGACGCUUGAAGGCUGUAAUUAGCUUUGUAGUGGUGUAUAUUUAUUCUAUUACCUAUCCAUUAUGUUGAGAUAGAUGCUAAAGUAUUUGUCGAUAGAAUAUAAAUAGUUGUAAUUGUGAUAUUUCCCCUCUUGAUGAUUUUGUUAAGGGGGCUAAGAUUUUGUUAUCUUCGUUCCCUAGUGUUACUCUUAGUAAUGUGGUAAGGGAGGCUAAUGGCCUUGCUCAUUCCUUAGCUAAGGUGGCUCUAGGGUUAGAUAAUAUACUUGUAUAUAAUGGUUGUGUUCUAUUAUCUGUUUCUUGUAAAAUUCAUGUACUUAAUGUUUCAACUUGAAUGGAAUUGUUAUUUCUUAAAAA